rnacentral:rRNA from 1 species
UGGGGAAUUUUGGACAAUGGGCGAAAGCCUGAUCCAGCAAUGCCGCGUGUGUGAAGAAGGCCUUCGGGUUGUAAAGCACUUUUGUCCGGAAAGAAAUCCUUGGCUCUAAUACAGUCGGGGGAUGACGGUACCGGAAGAAUAAGCACCGGCUAACUACGUGCCAGCAGCCGCGGUAAUACGUAGGGUGCAAGCGUUAAUCGGAAUUACUGGGCGUAAAGCGUGCGCAGGCGGUUUGCUAAGACCGAUGUGAAAUCCCCGGGCUCAACCUGGGAACUGCAUUGGUGACUGGCAGGCUAGAGUAUGGCAGAGGGGGGUAGAAUUCCACGUGUAGCAGUGAAAUGCGUAGAGAUGUGGAGGAAUACCGAUGGCGAAGGCAGCCCCCUGGGCCAAUACUGACGCUCAUGCACGAAAGCGUGGGGAGCAAGCAGGAUUAGAUACCCUGGUAGUCCACGCCCUAAACGAUGUCAACUAGUUGUUGGGGAUUCAUUUCCUUAGUAACGUAGCUAACGCGUGAAGUUGACCGCCUGGGGAGUACGGUCGCAAGAUUAAACUUAAUGAAUUGACGGGGUCAUAGCUGUUUCCU